rnacentral:rRNA from 1 species
AGUGAACGCUGGCGAUAGGCCUAACACAUGCAAGUCGAACGGCAGCACAGUAAGAGCUUGCUCUUACGGGUGGCGAGUGGCGGACGGGUGAGGAAUACAUCGGAAUCUACUUUUUCGUGGGGGAUAACGUAGGGAAACUUACGCUAAUACCGCAUACGACCUACGGGUGAAAGCAGGGGAUCUUCGGACCUUGCGCGAUUGAAUGAGCCGAUGUCGGAUUAGCUAGUUGGCGGGGUAAAGGCCCACCAAGGCGACGAUCCGUAGCUGGUCUGAGAGGAUGAUCAGCCACCCUGGAACUGAGACACGGUCCAGACUCCUACGGGAGGCAGCAGUGGGGAAUAUUGGACAAUGGGCGCAAUCCUGAUCCAGCCGUACCGCGUGGGUGAAGAAGGCCUUCGGGUUGUAAAGCCCUUUUGUUGGGAAAGAAAAGCAGCAGGUUAAUACCCCGCUGUUCUGACGGUACCCAAAGAAUAAGCACCGGCUAACUUCGUG